rnacentral:ncRNA from 1 species
ACUUCAGGGCGGAGCGAAACUCUCCACCGGUGGUAAAGCCCACGAGCGAGAUAUAUGUGUAUAUCGAGCAUGAUUCGGUGUAAUUCCGAAGCCGACAGUAAAGUCUGGAUGAAAGAAG